AAAACGACUCUCGGCAACGGAUAU
rnacentral:ncRNA from 10 species